rnacentral:rRNA from 1 species
GCUUACGACCACACCGGCCUGAGUACGCCUGAUCGUCUGAUCUCGGAAGCUAAGCAGGGUCGGGCCUGGUUAGUACUUGGAUGGGAGACCGCCUGGGAAUACCAGGUGCUGUAAGCU